CCCUGCCCUACUUUUCCCACAGAAAACCCAAUGAAGGUUGUGGCCUUGGCCUUCUCUUGCUUCUUUUUGUCUCCUGGCUGACAGUGAUGCUUUCUGCGUGGCAUGCGGUGCCUCUUGUCUCUUGGAAGAUGAGACAAAGAGCACAAGCAGGGAGAGCAGCAGGCAGAGGGAAAAGCAGACCCCCAGUGAGCGGGGGUUGAUCCUGGGAUUCUGGGAUUGUGACCUGAGCCGAAAACAGACGCUUAACCGACUGAGCCACCCAGGUACGCUAUCUACUGAUUUUCCACCCUUCAGUGGUCCAGGGCUCUUCUGGCAGUGCCAUGUCUCGGCACUUCCAGCUUACCUACGCUUAGGCACAAGUGCAC
rnacentral:lncRNA from 1 species